rnacentral:rRNA from 1 species
CUACGGGAUGCACCAGUGGGGAAUCUUGGACAAUGGGCGCAAGCCUGAUCCAGCCAUGCCGCGUGAGUGAAGAAGGCCUUAGGGUCGUAAAGCUCUUUCGCCAGAGAUGAUAAUGACAGUAUCUGGUAAAGAAACCCCGGCUAACUCCGUGCCAGCAGCCGCGGUAAUACGGAGGGGGUUAGCGUUGUUCGGAAUUACUGGGCGUAAAGCGCGCGUAGGCGGAUUAGUCAGUCAGAGGUGAAAUCCCAGGGCUCAACCCUGGAACUGCCUCUGAUACUGCUAGUCUUGAGUUCGAGAGAGGUGAGUGGAAUUCCGAGUGUAGAGGUGAAAUUCGUAGAUAUUCGGAGGAACACCAGUGGCGAAGGCGGCUCACUGGCUCGAUACUGACGCUGAGGUGCGAAAGUGUGGGGAGCAAACAGGAUUAGAUACCCUCGUAGUC